AGUGAACGCUGGCGGUAGGCCUAACACAUGCAAGUCGAACGGCAGCACAGUAAGAGCUUGCUCUUACGGGUGGCGAGUGGCGGACGGGUGAGGAAUACAUCGGAAUCUACUUUUUCGUGGGGGAUAACGUAGGGAAACUUACGCUAAUACCGCAUACGACCUACGGGUGAAAGCAGGGGAUCUUCGGACCUUGCGCGAUUGAAUGAGCCGAUGUCGGAUUAGCUAGUUGGCGGGGUAAAGGCCCACCAAGGCGACGAUCCGUAGCUAGUCUGAGAGGAUGAUCAGCCACACUGGAACUGAGACACGGUCCAGACUCCUACGGGAGGCAGCAGUGGGGAAUAUUGGACAAUGGGCGGAAGCCUGAUCCAGCCAUACCGCGUGGGUGAAGAAGGCCUUCGGGUUGUAAAGCCCUUUUGUUGGGAAAGAAAAGCAGCAGGUUAAUACCCCGCUGUUCUGACGGUACCCAAAGAAUAAGCACCGGCUAACUUCGU
rnacentral:rRNA from 1 species